rnacentral:lncRNA from 1 species
CCAACCGUACCUCCGCCUCUCCAGCUGCCAGCUGCCAGCUGCCACACCAAUGAGUCGCCCAAACCGCCGGAUCUAGCCGCGGACCAUCACCAGCGUAUCUCAACCACCAGGGUAACAUACAUAUCGGAAAGAGCAAAAUAAAAAGGAAAAGAACCCUCCGGAUACAGAGAGACAGCAGCACACGCCAGAGGUUACCAGAGGUGAGAUCUACUUUCGGUGCUUCGAGAGAGAAGGGAGUUGAGGAGAGAGGCCUAAUGCUAUCUUUCUUCACACUAUAUUUUUGGUUACAUUCUUAUAUAAUGUUCACGUUUAAUUGGUUAAUAUCGUCAAACAAUCUAUGAAAAUAACAAUCUAAUAUUAAAAUGAAAAAAAUACAAAAAUAGCACUAAAUCAAGUUUAACUUUCUCAAACUAGCACUUAAGGUCAAAAGUCACAAAAAUAACACUUAAUGUUUUAUCAAAAGUCACAAAAUUAGGGUUUAGAGUUAAAGGGUGCAGUUUAAGAUUUAGGGUUUAGGGUUUAGGGUUUAGAUUUUAGGGUUUAGGGUUUAGGGUUUAGAAUUUAGGGUUUAGAGUUUAGGGUUUAUGGUUUAGGGUUUAGAGUUUAGAGUUUAGGGUUUAGGGUUUAGAAUUUAGGGUUUAGAGUUUAGGGUUUAGGGUUUAUGGUUUAGGAUUUAGAGUUUAGAGUUUAGGGUUUAGAGUUGAGAAAUGAGGUUUUGGGG